AUUGAACGCUGGCGGCAGGCCUAACACAUGCAAGUCGAGCGAGCGGCGGACGGGCGAGUAAUGCCUGGGAAUUGCCCAGUCGAGGGGGAUAACAGUUGGACACGACUGCUAAUACCGCCUACGAUUGGCUUGCCCAGGUGGGAUUAGUUUGUUGGUGAGGUAAUGGCUCACCAAGGCGACGAGCCCUAGCUGGUCUGAGAGGAUGAUGAGUCACCCUGGAACUAGGACAAGGUCCCGACCCCGAAGGGAGGCAGCGGUGGGGAAGAUUGCACAAGGGGGGAAACCCUAAUGCAGCCAAGGGGCGUGUGUGAGAAAGGCCAUCGGGUUGUAAAGCACUAUCAGCUAGGAGGCGUUACUCGCAGAAGAAGCACCGGCUAACUCCGUGCCAGCCGCCGCGGUAAUUC
rnacentral:rRNA from 1 species